rnacentral:rRNA from 1 species
UACAGAGGGUGCGAGCGUUAAUCGGAAUUACUGGGCGUAAAGCGCACGUAGGCGGCUUGGUAUGUCGGGUGUGAAAUCCCCGGGCUCAACCUGGGAACUGCAUCCGAAACUGCCUUGCUCGAGUAUGGGAGAGGGAAGUGGAAUUUCCGGUGUAGCGGUGAAAUGCGUAGAUAUCGGAAGGAACACCAGUGGCGAAGGCGGCAUCCUGGCCCUGUCCUGACGCUCAGGGGCGAAAGCGUGGGGAGCAAACCGG